GUGCUUAUGAAAAGGCAAUUUCAUAGUCUAUGAAGUUUUACUGAGAUGUGAUUAUUGCUGGCUGAAAUUUUUAUCCACCUAGAUGACUUGAGAUAUAGUCAGUUUUGGCAAUUAUGCAUGCAUG
rnacentral:snRNA from 1 species